GGUUCCUGGUCCCCGGGAGAAGCCAAGAAGGUCCUGAGUUCAAGAGAAACAGGUGUCUAAACAGAAGUAAAAUCCUGUGGAAGUUUAGGAUAAUUGAAUUACUCGCAAAUUGGAGUAUCCUGGAAAACUUCCUGGAGGAAGUGGCCUGUGCUUUGUAUCAGGAAAAAUAGAUGGAAAAGUGGUGAUGACAGAAAAUUGUCUGUUGCUUUUGGAAAAGAAAGAAAAAAAAAAGUGACGUUUCCCUGUGUUUGACAUCCUCUUCCUUAAAGGUAUCAGAAUGGUGCGUGGGUUUGGUUUGAAGCUAAAGAAAGGAGAAAGAGCCAGAGAAGAAGAAAAAAAGAUUCCCUGCAGCCUGCCAGGGACGUGGUAACUGCCCUGCCAAGAGUGAUCCUGGGAGAGCUAUUGAAAGAGCUCUGAGGCCUCCUUGGCAUAUGGAAGUUCCCAGGCUAGGGGUGGAAUCCGAGCCACAUCCGUGACCUACACCGCAGCUCACGACAACGCUGGAUCAUCAACCCACUGAGUGAGGCCAGAGAUCAAACCCGAGUUUUCCUGCACACCAGUUAGGUUUGUUACCACUGAGCCGCAACAGGAACUCCCAGGAGCUUUAUGAGUGAAUGAAUAAAUGCAUCAUUCCACCCCCACCUCACCGCCGCCACCCCGGGGGAGAGAGUCUACAGCUUUUAGCAGAAUCUCAAAGUUUUUUGUAACGCAGGAAGGUUGAGGAAGCUGAUCCAGGCAAUCUCGAUGUAUAAGUGGGUACUCUAAGGCCCAGAGAGGGCCAGGGACUGGUUCA
rnacentral:lncRNA from 1 species